UACUCAGAGUGGUCUCAGUGGGUUAGUCAAACAUGUUCAGCUACGUGUCAAGGCACGCAGCAAGUCACGAGGACCAGACUCUGCAAUGAUCCAGUCCCCCAGUUUAAUGGAAGGACAUGCCAAGGACCAUCAGUAGACACUGAACAAAGAUCCUGUGGGGACGAGAAAUGCCCAGGUCAAGAUUUGGUGUCUCAGUGGUCAGACUGGAGCAGUCCACAGUGUCAAGUUACAUGUGGAGGAGCUAGUGGAAUAGUCACAAGGGCCAGAACAUGCGUAAGGCCAGACAACGCCACCAACGGCUGUACAGCAAGUCUGACAGAGAGUGAAAUGAGGGCUUGUGGGCCAAGUAAUUGUCCAGUUCACGGUGGUGUCAGUGUAUGGUACAACUGGAGUAUCUAUGGUCCCUGUUCUCCGUCGUGUGGCGCAAACGUAACAAGACAAAGAACAAGAACAAGAACUAGAACCUGCACCAAUCCCGUUCCAGCAUAUGGUGGAAGGUUCUGUUCCCAACCUUUAGUUGACACAGACACAAUAGUCUGUGAUCCCGUGCCCU